CCUACGGGCGGCUGCAGUGGGGAAUUUUGGACAAUGGGCGCAAGCCUGAUCCAGCCAUUCCGCGUGAGUGAAGAAGGCCUUCGGGUUGUAAAGCUCUUUCGCAAGGGAAGAAAACUUCUCCUCUAACAUAGGAUGAGGUUGACGGUACCUUGAUAAGAAGCACCGGCUAACUACGUGCCAGCAGCCGCGGUAAUACGUCGGAUGCGAGCGUUAAUCGGAAUGAGUAGGCGGUUUGCUAAGUCAGGCUGGAAAUCCCCGAGCUCAACUUGGGAACUGCGUUUGAAACUACAAGACUAGAAUAGGUCAGAGGGGGGUAGAAUUCCACGUGUAGCAGUGAAAUGCGUAGAGAUGUGGAGGAAUAUCAAUGGCGAAGGCAGCCCCCUGGGAUCAUAUUGACGCUCAUGCACGAAAGCGUGGGGAGCAAACAGGAUUAGAUACCCCUGUAGUC
rnacentral:rRNA from 1 species